rnacentral:lncRNA from 1 species
CUUAUAUUGUUUUCCUUCUUUGUUUCAUUUAUUUUUGCUCUGAAACAUUAGUUCUUUCCAUUUUCUAAUUUUGGGCUUAGAUUUUUCUUCUUUAUCUAGUUCCUUGAAUUGUAACAGUAGAUUGUUAACUUGAGAUACUUAUUAUUUCUUGGCAUAUUUAUUGAUAUAAACUUCAUUCUUAGAACUGAUUUUGCUCUGUUACUUAAGUUUUCAUAUAUUCUAUUUCCAUUCUAAUUCAUCUCAAGAUUUCUUUUUAACCUCCCCCCCCCCACCUUUUUUCCAUCUUGGACCCAUUGGUUGUUUUGAAGCAUGUGAUUUAAUUUCUGCAUAUUAGGACUUUUCAAAAUUCUUCCUUUUGUUGACUUUUAGUUUUAUACCAUUUUAGUUGAAAAGGACAUUUGAGAUGAUUUCAAUCUAUCUAAAUUUGUUAAGACUUAUUUUGUGGUCUAACAUAUAUUCUGAAGAAUGUUCCAUGUAUACUUGAAAAGGACAUGUAUUUUUAUUAUUUGAUGAAAUAUUCCACAUAGGCUAUUAGGUCCAUUUAGUCUAAAGUUUAGUUCUAGUCCAGUAUUUCCUUAUUGAUCUUCUGUCUGGAUGAUCAUUGCAUUCUGAAAAUGAAAUAUUGAAGUCAAGUUUCUCCACACUAUUAUUACAUUGCAAUCUGUCUCUCUCUUCACAUAUAUUACUAUUUGCUUAUACAUUUAGGUGCUCUGAUA